AUCCAUUCCUAGCAACAUGGAGCACCGCUCUCGAAUAGGAGGAUUGAAGCAUGUAAGCUGCCAUUAACAAUGCAAUUGGUACUAUUAGCCUAAUUUUGAUUAUGCCAUAAUCCAUGCUUGGUCAACACAUAUCUAGUCGUUAUCGAGUUAUUAUGGGAGACAAUCAUGGCAAUAUUACUAUUCAUGUUUAGGACAAUAUUUCUAGAAACAAACC
rnacentral:lncRNA from 1 species